CAAUAGCGUAUAUUAAUGUUGCUGUAGUUAAAAAGCUCGUAGUUGGAUUUUUAUGGUUUGGGUGCAUGAUCACUUCACUGGCUACGGUUAGAGGAGUAGGUCUGGUGGAGACUUCUGACGCCAAGCGUGUCGUCGUCGUCCACCCGCUCAGACAUACACGAUGCGAACUACAAGCCUAGUCAAGCUGAUGCACUUAACUGUGUAGAGGCAGGGCGUUCCUGGCAACAGGAGGGUUUGAGUUCCGUUUACUUUGAACAAAAUAGAGUGUUUAAAGCAGGCUCAAAUGGAAGCCUUGAAUAUCCUAGCAUGGAAUAAAACAGCGCAAGACUUCGGUCUUUGGGACGGUCAGGCGGCAACGUCUGGACGGACCAUGUUUGUUGGUUUCAAGACCAGAAGUUAAGGAUUAAUAGGGAUAGUUGGGGGCAUUUGUAUUUCAUUGUCAGAGGUGAAAUUCUUGGAUUUAUGAAAGACAAACCUAUGCGAAAGCAUCUGUCAAGGAUGUUUUCAUUAA
rnacentral:rRNA from 1 species